AAUUUUUAACCUUGCUGAUGUGCUCAUUGAUAUAAGUGUGGUGUUGAUGAUUUAUCAAAUGUUACAAGAAAAAAGAAAUGGUGGCCACGACUGGACUUGAACCAGCGACCACUACCA
rnacentral:antisense_RNA from 22 species